rnacentral:lncRNA from 12 species
AGUAGGAAGGAUAACAUCCACUGCAUUUUCCCAUUACACCCUCAAGCAUGCAAGACUGGUUUGUAGGAAUAACUGACAUUUCAAUGCUGAUAGAAAAACUCACAGCCAUCCCAGCAUUUUUAAGUAAAGUUUUGGGAGGAAGCCUUAGCAGAAAUGGUCUUUUGUCAUGGGACACAGCAGUCCAAUAUUUCUACUCUUCAUCAUGGUUUGGGUUAUGAUCAAAACUAGAGAUUGUGGCAGUGGGAUUUUAUGAAGAGGUCUGGGCUGUGUGUGUGUGUGUGUGUGUGUGUGUGUGUGUGUUUGCAUGUGUGCACACAGUGCGCCACACCAAGGGGAGAGCGGUCUAUGAAGGUGACAGGAGGGGCAUGUCCACUAGGAUGAGAACCAUUUUGGUAUCUCUAGCUUUAUACACUUUGGAAUCUCAGGUCUAAAAAUAACCCCCUUUUGGAACCCGUGUUGUUUAUCUGUAUCCUGGGUUUUCCCAUUCUUAAAAAUACCCUGACAUGCAUAUAAAGACUGCGUUCCAAAGGUUAAUGCUCCUUAAUCCUGAAGGGAGUGGAAGCAAAUAGUAAUGGAUGCAGAAGGAGAGGUUUAAAAGGAAGAGAUGAAUUUCUUUAGACCAAAUAAAAAUGAUCCCUCACGCUUGUCUAGAGCUUAAAGGAGUCACUGCAUAGAAGUGAUUUUAUCUGAAAGUGGAGGGGAAAAGAGAAAUUGUACAUGGACACUUCCCUCACCCUGGCAUUUCCUAUUGAAGCCCAGAAACUCUGGAAAUAGGAGAAAGACAGAUCCUGCAUGACCCACGGUGCCUUCUCACUUCCUGCUGGAGUUAUUGCAAAAGGAAUCCAGGAGACAAUGGGGCUGCUGAACACUUUCCGGAAUCGGGGCAUGCCUGCUAUGGCCACACAAGACCAGCUGCUCUACAAAGGAGCCCGUGAGCCAAAGAGGAAAACUUUGAAGAUAAAUAUUGCCAUAUGUGAAGAGAAAAAGAAAAAAAUCCCAACAAACCUUAAUUGCACGGAGCAUCGUUUUCCAAUGCUAUUUGCCGUGGGAAUAAAGGAUUUCUUGUUGUGACCCAUG